rnacentral:rRNA from 1 species
GAGUUUGAUCGUGGCUCAGAUUGAACGCUGGCGGCAUGCCUUACACAUGCAAGUCGAACGGCAGCACGGGAGCUUGCUCCUGGUGGCGAGUGGCGAACGGGUGAGUAAUGCAUCGAAACGUAUCCUGGAGUGGGGGAUAACGUAGCGAAAGUUACGCUAAUACCGCAUAUUCUGUGAGCAGGAAAGCGGGGGACCUUCGGGCCUCGCGCU